AUAUACAAUCUCAUUUAGCUUUAUAGAACAGUUCUUAGACACAAGAAAUGCCAGUCCUCUCAUCAGACCACAUUUCUUUGAUGCUUAAUUAAAGUAUCACUUGUUUUAACAUAACAGAGUUAAAUGAUCCCCUCUAGCUCUAGACACCAGUUCUUAGACACAGAAAAAGCAGCUCGCCACUUCAGGCAUCAGCAAGGUUUUUAGAAGAAUAUAAAUAUCAAGAGAACUUAGAGGCCAGUCCAUUCUUUUACAUUUUCUGUCCAGCUUUUCUUUGGAUGACGUAUCUUCAUGCUUGAUGCACUGUAACUUAACAGAUGACUUUUGACAAUGAGUCACGUGUUAAUAUAAGACAGAACCAGCUCAGCUUUCAUCUCUUCAUAGAUUGAAGAUUGAGCCAGAGUGUUGACUUAAAGUACAUACUCCUUUGUCUUCUUUUCUUGGUAUGCUUUUCACACCAAAAGAUACUGGUAGAAACUUCAUUAACUUCAAAAAACACUUAUGGUUGGGUUUGGCAAGUGAUAACGGUUUCGAACAUAUAGCAUUGAACUUGAUGUUUUCUAACUUUUCUGCCUCCUUUCUACACUUGGCAUGAUCUCUCUAUUCAGUCCAGGACCCCACUUUAUGACUACCAUGUUAUUGGUAUCAUUCUGCUUGAAACGCAUGCAAUAUAAUGUUAAAGCAUAUUAUUUAUUUAGAAUGCACAGAAAUAUUUCGUCUGCCAAAGCUUUCACUGAAUGUUAUGCCAUUUUCUCCCAGCUGUUGAUAGUGAUGGCUCAGCAGAGUUUACAAAAUUAGUGAUGCACAAUUUCAUCACUACUAAACUUCUCAUUUGGCACUACACAUCAUUUAUCCAACAUUUAAUAUGCACACAACAAAGGAUAUGUAAUCAGGCAGAAUACCAAUUAGUAUUACAGUUUUAAAUUAUUUUUCUUUGAUAUAAUG